rnacentral:rRNA from 1 species
CGUGCUUAACACAUGCAAGUCGAACGAGAAAGGGAUUGCUUGCAAUCCUGAGUAGAGUGGCGCACGGGUGAGUAACACGUAGAUAAUCUACCUUCAAGCCCGGGAUAACUGCCCGAAAGGACAGCUAAUACCGGAUGAAGUUGAUUCACACAAGUGAAUUAAUGAAAGAUUGCCUCUUCUUGAAAGCAAUUGUUUGGAGAUGAGUUUGCGGACCAUUAGUUUGUUGGUGGGGUAAAGGCCUACCAAGACUGCGAUGGUUAGCUGGUCUGAGAGGAUGAUCAGCCACACUGGAACUGGUACACGGUCCAGACUCCUACGGGAGGCAGCAGUGAGGAAUUUUGCGCAAUGGGGGAAACCCUGACGCAGCAACGCCGCGUGAGUGAAGAAGGCCCUUGGGUCGUAAAGCUCUGUCGACAGGGAAGAAAUUAGAGUUUUCUAAUAGGAGAUUCUAUUGACGGUACCUGUAGAGGAAGCACCGGC